UGCGCAGUGAAGAAGGGCCUAGGCUUCGCGGACAAUCCCAACCGUCCUGACCGGCGUGCUGGUUUGAGGGAAGCGGAGGAUUGAUAGGACCAAGAUGAGUUUGUUUGGGUCAACAUCAGGAUUUGGAACUGGAGGCACCAGCAUGUUUGGCAGCACUGCUACAGAUAAUCACAACCCAAUGAAGGAUAUUGAAGUUACUUCCCCACCUGAUGACAGCAUAGGUUGUUUGGCUUUCAGCCCACCAACAUUGCCGGGUAAUUUCCUUAUUGCAGGAUCAUGGGCAAAUGAUGUUCGUUGUUGGGAAAUCCAAGAUAACGGGCAAACUAUUCCAAAAGCCCAACAGAUGCAUACAGGACCAGUACUAGAUGUUUGCUGGAGUGAUGACGGAAGUAAAGUGUUCACAGGGUCCUGUGAUAAAACUGCCAAAAUGUGGGAUCUUAACAGUAAUCAAGCAAUACAAAUCGCACAGCAUGAAGCUCCUGUAAAGACCGUCCAUUGGAUUAAAGCAACAAAUUAUAGUUGUGUGAUGACUGGAAGUUGGGAUAAAACAUUGAAGUUUUGGGAUACACGAACCCCCACUCCAAUGAUGACGCUGCAGUUGCCUGAACGAUGCUAUUGUGCCGAUGUGAUAUAUCCCAUGGCUGUUGUUGCUACUGCAGAAAGGGGCUUGAUAGUUUACCAGUUAGACAAUCAGCCUUCUGAAUUUAGAAGGAUAGACUCUCCACUUAAACAUCAGCAUCGCUGUGUGGCUAUUUUCAAAGACAAAGUGAACAAACCAACAGGCUUUGCCCUUGGAAGCAUUGAAGGAAGAGUUGCCAUUCAUUAUAUUAACCCACCAAAUCCCGCCAAAGACAACUUUACCUUCAAAUGCCAUCGAUCCAAUGGUACAAACACAUCUGCGCCUCAGGAUAUCUAUGCAGUAAAUGGGAUUGCCUUCCAUCCUGCCCAUGGCACUCUUGCAACUGUGGGGUCCGAUGGCAGAUUCAGUUUCUGGGAUAAAGAUGCGCGAACAAAGCUAAAAACAUCUGAACAGCUAGACCAGCCAAUAUCUGCUUGCUGCUUCAACCAUAAUGGCAACAUAUUUGCAUAUGCUUCUAGUUAUGACUGGUCAAAGGGGCAUGAAUUCUAUAAUCCCCAAAAGAAAAACUAUAUCUUUCUGCGCAAUGCGGCCGAAGAACUAAAACCUAGAAAUAAAAAGUAUUAAAUCUUAUGGAAGUCAUUAUGAUUCUAGCAGCAGCUGCUCAGGUUCAUGGAAAAGGUGCUGAAGCAUGUGCUUAGAGAUCAGUUAUUUGUGUGCAUCUCAGAAUAAUAGAUCUUCAAAAGACCCCAAAAUUUUAGUUUGCACCGCUUGCUGGUGCCACAAGAACUUCAACUGAGGAAGGAAUUUCUACCAGAAACUUAACUAACCGUGCCUGUCAGUUGGGCUUCUUCCUUGUGCUUUUAAUGAGGCCAAAAUAAGAAAAAUCAAAAAAAAAAAAAAAAAAAAAAAAGAAAGAAAAGAAAGAAAGAAAGAAAUGCUCAGUUGUCUUUUCCUUUCCCCUGUUUUUAAAAAUCUGUUGCUUUUAUGGGAACUGCAUUCACUUGAAGUGUUCUACAUGUGGCCAUUUGUUCCUACCUGUACUUGAAGGCUGCGGGCCUUUAACCUGUGGCUUAAUUUCAAGUAAUCAUGCAUAGGAUCGCACUGUGCAUGACAGCAGCACUGCCUCCCUCCUCCAACAGGACUUGGAACAGUAUUGAGGAAUAUUUAACAGUGAGAAAACAAACAGCAGCAUAAAAUAUUUUAAGAUCUCUCAAAGGUUCACAGUAUAUGAAGAGUUAUAAAAAUCAUGAACAAAAUAUUUUCAGUUCUUUUCACCAUGGUUGGGAUUCUUAUAUUUUUGCCCCAUCUUGGUUCUGGUGCCAUCUUUAUAAGUUCUUGAAAAAUUUACCUUGAUUUUUUUUUCCAGUAGAAAGUUAAGCAAGUGUCCUUAGCAUCAAUCUGGUUGUUAUUAUGGAUCUUCUUCAGCACAAUGUCUUCAGUGGUGAUUUUAAGAAAUCAGUUUUCACACUGUGGUCCCAUGAACUCCAUUCAGGAAAUCUAUCGAAAAGUCAACUAUUAUUUAUGCUUUGGCCUUGAACUUGAUUUAUUUUCUAAGAACAGACUUCAUAGCCUGGUUGAAUUAACCCUUAAACUUCAGGUGCCAGGUUUUUACAAGAUGCUUCUUUUCAACAGUAAUGGUGCUACUGAAUAAAGCAGCAUUUGUUCUUAUAUGAGUUAUGUUCGUGCUGGAAUUUGAGCUGUUUACUAAGAGGCUCAUGAAGCUGUCUAACAAUUUGCAAGUGGUCCAUGAUUUAAAAUAAAAAUUGGGCAUCUUGUUGGAACCUCUUAAUUGCCCCAAAUUGAUACAGAAAAGACGAUGAAUAGAUUAGACAAUGCAGAUUAACAAUUUCUGAAAUAGGUUGUCACACUAUGACAAAACUAUGUGGAGAGAUGAUGAACCUGCAUGAUGAUUUCACAAAACAUUGGCUUUGCUUAUGGCAGAAAAGUUUUAUUUUACAAUUUUCACCAUGCAGAUUCUAUUCUAUACCCUGUUGUAUCAUACCAUCAGUUUGUUCCCUUACCAUGCACGCACACACAAAAAACAAUAACUUGCCUUUAUUUCUCGUUUCUGGCAUUCUUUUAUUGAUCAGUUCUUGCCAGGUAUUAAAAAUAUUAUAUAGGGACUACUAGUGGAAUCAUUUUAAUAAUUCCUCCCACAUGUUCAUAGAUGGCAAUUUUGGUGCACUGCUGGCAAAACAAGGAUUAAUAGAGCUCUUCCACCAUCAGCAUUACACCCUGGUGUUGUGUGUAGUAUAAGCAGACCAAAGUCACACAAAGAGCAAAUGGAAUAAAAUUAUUGGUGGACUGUUCUCUUCCUCAUUGUAGGUGAUUGGCCAUAGGACUUCCUUUAUCUGUAGAGAGAGGUGUUAGAGGGAACAAAUCUACAAUAUAUCUUUUUCUCUGUUGAUGAUUCCUUGUAGAUGGACCUGAAAUGGCAAGGUCCCAGAAAAAUGUUAUACUUCCUCUGCUAAUUCUUUAAAACUACAUUUAAGAUGCUUCGGAAAUCAGUUUGCCCCAUCAACUUAAUGCACGUUUGCUGAUCUUGCUGUUCAAACACGUGGUCCUUGACUUAAGAUCAUUCAAUGCCAGUUCAAAGUUACGACAGCCUUGGAAAAGGUGACGACUUGUCCUCAAAGUUAUGACCAUCGCUUCACCCACACCCCUCGAUCACCUGAUGGCAAUUUAGGCUCUUGGCACCCAGCUCAUAUUUAUAGUGGUUGUGGAGUCUUGCAGUCGCAUGACCAUGAUUUGUGACCUUCCCAGUCAGCUCCCGACAAGCAAAGUCCACUGGGAACUUUGCAUUAAAAAAUGGUCAUAAAAAUGGGUCUGGGUCACAUGAUGACUCAUUUAAUGACUGAAUCAUUUCAUAACCAAAAUUCCAACUGUUGUAAAUUGAUGACUGCACAUGUCCACAAUAUUUUGGUAAGUACAAAUUCCAUAGUAGGCAUAGCUGCUUUAAGGCAUUUGUAGGGUCCUUGGACAUUUGGGACAGAAUGAUUAUAACGACUGAAAGCACAAUAAUUUUGAGGCCAAUUAAUUGUUACACUUAUAUAAUUGUUAUACUUGUUUUUAACUGAUACUCGUUUUGUUACAGAUAUUUUUGUUAACUGGUAUACAGUAUGGCAAUCGACUUUGCUCAAACAGCCCUAUGAAAACUUUACAUAAAUAAAUCCUGCAGACCCCAAUCCCUUGAGACACUUUAGGGAUCAAAUCAGAAACACUACAACUUUACUAAAAACUGGAAUUUCUACUAAAACAAGGUGAUAAAAUCUGUAAAGCUACAUGUAGGCAUCAGGAAGGGCAUCCGGCCAGUAAAUGUUCAGUUCCAGUUGCUCCGAUUUUACCCCGGACAAGGAUUACAGGGUUGUAAAAGGAGUUUUUAUAUAACUAUAUUGAAAACUUUUAUUAAUCAAUAAAGAAACAAGAAAUGGAUGGGAUUCAAGCAAUCCUGCAUACAAGUGUCA